AUUGAACGCUGGCGGCAUGCCUUACACAUGCAAGUCGAACGGCAGCACGGGUGCUUGCACCUGGUGGCGAGUGGCGAACGGGUGAGUAAUACAUCGGAACGUACCUUAUCGUGGGGGAUAACGCAGCGAAAGCUGUGCUAAUACCGCAUACGCCCUGAGGGGGAAAGCGGGGGAUCGCAAGACCUCGCGCGAUUAGAGCGGCCGAUGCCUGAUUAGCUAGUUGGUGGGGUAAAAGCCCACCAAGGCGACGAUCAGUAGCUGGUCUGAGAGGACGAUCAGCCACACUGGGACGGGGACACGGCCCAGACUCCUACGGGAGGCAGCAGUGGGGAAGUUUGGACAAUGGGGGCAACCCUGAUCCAGCAAUGCCGCGUGAGUGAAGAAGGCCUUCGGGUUGUAAAGCUCUUUUGUCAGGGAAGAAACACCGGCUCUAACACAGUCCGGGAAUGACGGUACCUGAAGAAUAAGCACCGGCUAACUACGUGCCAGCCGCCGCCGUAA
rnacentral:rRNA from 1 species